CACGUAGGGGGCAAGCGUUGUCCGGAUUUAUUGGGCGUAAAGAGCUCGUAGGCGGUUCGGUAAGUCAGGUGUGAAACCUCCAGGCUCAACCUGGAGACGCCACCUGAUACUGCUGUGACUCGAGUCCGGUAGGGGAGCGUGGAAUCCUGGUGUGCGGUGAAAUGCGCAGAUAUCAGGAGGACACCGGUGGCGAAGGCGGGUCUCUGGGCCGAUGAUUGCGCUGGAGGAGCGAAAGCGUGGGGAGCAAACAGG
rnacentral:rRNA from 1 species